GAUGAACGCUGGCGGCGUGCCUAAUACAUGCAAGUCGAGCGAACGGACGAGAAGCUUGCUUUUCUGAUGUUAGCGGCGGGCGGGUGUGUAACACGUGUAUAACCUACCUAUAAGACUGGUAUCACUUCGGGACACCGGCGCUUAUACCGUAUAAUAUUUUGCACCGCAUGGUUCAAUAGAGAAAGACGGUCUUUCUGUCUCUUAUAGAUGGAUCCGCGCUGCAUUAGCUAGUUGGUAAGGUAACCGCUUACCAAGGCAACUAUGCAUAGCCGAACUGAGGGGGUGAUAGGCCACACGGGAACGGAGACACGGUCCAGACUCCUACGGGAGGCAGCAGUAGGGAACCUGCCGCAAUGGGCGAGAGUCUGACGGAGCAACGCCGCGUGAGUGAUGAAGGUGUUCGGAGCGGAAAACUCUGUUAUUAGGGAAGAACAGAUGUGUACGUAACUGUGCACAGCUUGACGGUACCUAAUCAGAAAGCCACGGCUAACUACGUG
rnacentral:rRNA from 1 species